rnacentral:rRNA from 1 species
AUCUACGGCCAUGCCACCCUGAACACGCCCGAACAACUUACAAGAUCUCGGAAGCUAAGCAGGUUCAGGCCUCGUUAGUACUUGGAUGGGAGACCACCUAGGAAUACUAGGCGCUGUAGGUG